UUAGGAGUAGUGUUGAUGGUUUCUAAACCCUCCCAAUGACAGGAGGUUAAGGUUAGGAGUAGUGUUGAUGGUUUCUAAACCCUCCCAAUGACAGGAGGUUAAGGUUAGGAGUAGUGUUGAUGGUUUCUAAACCCUCCCAAUGACAGGAGGUUAAGGUUAGGAGUAGUGUUGAUGGUUUCUAAACCCUCCCAAUGACAGGAGGUUAAGGUUAGGAGUAGUGUUGAUGGUUUCUAAACCCUCCCAAUGACAGGAGGUUAAGGUUAGGAGUAGUGUUGAUGGUUUCUAAACCCUCCCAAUGACAGGAGGUUAAGGUUAGGAGUAGUGUUGAUGGUUUCUAAACCCUCCCAAUGACAGGAGGUUAAGGUUAGGAGUAGUGUUGAUGGUUUCUAAACCCUCCCAAUGACAGGAGGUUAAGGUUAGGAGUAGUGUUGAUGGUUUCUAAACCCUCCCAAUGACAGGAGGUUAAGGUUAGGAGUAGUGUUGAUGGUUUCUAAACCCUCCCAAUGACAGGAGGUUAAGGUUAGGAGUAGUGUUGAUGGUUUCUAAACCCUCCCAAUGACAGGAGGUUAAGGUUAGGAGUAGUGUUGAUGGUUUCUAAACCCUCCCAAUGACAGGAGGUUAAGGUUAGGAGUAGUGUUGAUGGUUUCUAAACCCUCCCAAUGACAGGAGGUUAAGGUUAGGAGUAGUGUUGAUGGUUUCUAAACCCUCCCAAUGACAGGAGGUUAAGGUUAGGAGUAGUGUUGAUGGUUUCUAAACCCUCCCAAUGACAGGAGGUUAAGGUUAGGAGUAGUGUUGAUGGUUUCUAAACCCUCCCAAUGACAGGAGGUUAAGGUUAGGAGUAG